AUAGUGAUUGCUUCCUAAGGCCCACUUGACUUCACAUUCCAGGAUGUCUGGCUCUAGCUCAAGAGACCUGUCAAGGUGAAGUCUCAGGAAGUCCCAUCCUCACUGAUACAUCAGCAGUCACGUCCGAGCCGUGAUCUGACCCAUUUGCGCACCAGAACUAGACCCAGUGGACCAGCCCCUCCUGAAUUCAUCCUGAAACGAUUUCUCCACUUGACGGAUAAGGAGCCAGGCUCCCUCUCAGAUUCUGCCACCUCACUGCUUCUGUCCCCUGUGCUGUUUCGUCCAUCUCCACGUCUAAGGGCUUAACUUGGGGUAACCAAUAAUACUUCAGUCUUUGAUUUUUCUGUCCCCUUGACGUCCUCAUUGCCUGGAGCUGCACACUGUCCAAUAUGGUUAACAGUAGCCAUGGAUGGCCAUUUGAAUAUAAAUUUAAAUACAUUUAAAUUAAAUAAAUUUAGGAAUACAGCCCCACUCUGAAACUUUCUUCCUCUUGUCUGUCUUUCACCCUUGACAUUCUAUUACCCAGCGAUCCAUCUGGAACUACAUUCACAGUAUUUCCAGAAUCCUGUCAAUUUUCAUCGCUUCCAAAAUUAUCAGUGCGGUACAUGCCACCAUUAUCUUCUGCCUGGGUUAUUGCAAUAGGCCCCUAAGCCAAACAAGCAUGUCUCCACCACAUGGUCUUUGCACUUCCUUCUUGCUUUUCAAGGACUCUCUUACCACAGUCCUCUCUACUCCCUUCUUCAAGUCUUAGUCCCUCAGUUCCUUUAAUAUAUGCUCAAAUAUUCCUCUCUGGGAUUUCAUCACACUAUGUAAUCUGGUCUUUCUCCCUCACACAUCUCACCCUGAUUUAUAUUUUGAAUAAAGGAAUUCCCUCCCCUCAUUACCCAGAUUUAUACUUUGAUAAUUUUCCAGAUAUAUUCCCUCACCUAUCA